rnacentral:rRNA from 1 species
AUUGAACGCUGGCGGCAGGCCUAACACAUGCAAGUCGAGCGGAUGAAGGGAGCUUGCUCCUGGAUUCAGCGGCGGACGGGUGAGUAAUGCCUAGGAAUCUGCCUGGUAGUGGGGGAUAACGUCCGGAAACGGGCGCUAAUACCGCAUACGUCCUGAGGGAGAAAGUGGGGGAUCUUCGGACCUCACGCUAUCAGAUGAGCCUAGGUCGGAUUAGCUAGUUGGUGGGGUAAAGGCCUACCAAGGCGACGAUCCGUAACUGGUCUGAGAGGAUGAUCAGUCACACUGGAACUGAGACACGGUCCAGACCCCUGCGGGAGGCAGCAGUGGGGAAUAUUGGACAAUGGGCGAAAGCCUGAUCCAGCCAUGCCGCGUGUGUGAAGAAGGUCUUCGGAUUGUAAAGCACUUUAAGUUGGGAGGAAGGGCAGUAAGUUAAUACCUUGCUGUUUUGACGUUACCAACAGAAUAAGCACCGGUUAACUUCGU